AGAUGAUUGAAACGGGGUGCUUUGAAGAUAUCAAUGCAUAUGAAACUGAUGGUACUGUGUCACCAGACAGAGAGAGGUCUCCUAAACCAAAGAGAGGCUUCUUUCACAGACUUUUUAGUGGAGAGGUCUGCUUUAAAUCUGAUUGCAGUGAUGAUGAGCAAGAGUCCUCCAGACUUUAAAUCAUUUUACUCUCAUCAGAAAGGAUGAGCAAACUUUAAAUGUUUUAUAUCUCUGUAGCAAAGUGUAUUAUAUAUAUUUUUUACCUGAGUUCAAGGAUUUUUGUACAUUUGUACUUCAUUUGUUUUAAGAUGUAUAUUUUCACUAAAGCUUAAUUGUACAAAAA